AACGGCGGCACCACUCUGAACUUUGACCCUUAUAAACCUCCCACGACAACUUCGCUUCCAUAUUCAGCAGGUCUGCCGCGGUCGCUGUUGUGUGGGUGAGGGACGGCAGGUCGCGUCAAGGUACGCAGCCGCCCAGCAUGCGAAUGAUUACCAGCUCUGCAGCAUGGUACGAUUGGAUUACGACACUGAUCAGGCAUUAAAGAGACAUGAAAUGGACAACCGACUAUCCAGUGAAACUGCCCAGAUGCCAGGACCUGUGGGAAAAGAUGUGUGCACUGACCAUGGUGAUAAAGGAUCUUCAGCAAGUUCUCCCAGAGUAUCCCGGACUAAUGCGUGUGCUCAGGGUUCAAGCACCCCACUGCCGUUUGGAGACACCACAUUUAUAAUCCCCACACCUACGACCCAGGACAAUGGACCAGCUACGCCCCCCAGAGAAGAGGCCAGAGGCGAGAACUGUGAGAGAAGUCAUGCCCCUGUGGCGUUUGAGAGGAGUGGUAGCAGAAGGCGCUGCAGAACACUGUCCAUCCAAUCGCCCUCCAGCUUGGACCACAACGGCAAUGAGGAGCUGCACACGGACAGGACCGACACGUCCGACAUGCUAGAAGAUGAAGAGGGAACUUCUUGCAGUGAUCUCCAGGGUAAACUUUACAUUAAUAGAGUGUUCAACAUGAAUGCAGACAAGAUGUUUGAGCUUCUCUUCACCAACUCUGAAUUUCUGCAGAAAUUUAUAAAUGCUAGAAAAAUUACAGAUUUCGUCAUGGGUUCAUGGGAGAAAGAUGUGAGUGGUAACAAGAAAAGGACUCUGAAAUAUGUAAUAACCAUCACAAACCCAUUGAUCGGCAAGUUCUCUACUGCAACGGAGGAUCAGACCAUGUCGAAAGACAGCCGGCCUGGCCAGUACUAUGUGAUUGAUGCAGAGAUAACCACACACGAUGUGCCUUACCACGACUACUUCUACACACACAACAGAUUCUGCAUCAUUCAGACCUCGAGGCGCAAGUGUAGACUCAGAGUUUCAACGGACGUCUGCUACAGGAAGCAGCCCUGGGGAUUGGUGAAGUCCUUCAUACAGAAAAACUCCUGGAGCGGUCUGGAGGAUUACUUCAAGCACUUAGAAUCUGACCUGUUGACUGAGGAGAUUCUGCACAACCCUGUCUCCACUGAGUCUGGUCAGCUGGGCCAUCGGCGACGUCGCCGCGGCUUCAACCGGGCACUUGCCGACCUGUCUCCGAACCGGGAUGGUGGCACAAGGGAAGGCUACACAGAUAAAGGAAAUAAUUUGGAAAAUAAACCAGCAAAGCAGAAUUGGAAGCUGUCAAAGCUUGUGUUGAGCAUGAGUGUGAUCCUGAUUAUCCUAGCUGCCUUGAACUUGGGUCUGUUUCUUAAGCUUCUGAAUGUAGAAGAUGUGGCCCAAAAGGUCUAUUUGUCAAGCAAGUUCAAGAUGCCUGACAAGCUGAGCGUCAGUUUGGAUCAAGAGACGCUAGAGCAGGAAACAAAACACAAGAGUCCUGGUCAACUUCAGGCGCUGCAGGCAGUGAUCAACGAUUCCAUUGUUCUGCUGGAACAGUUGAAAAAUUCCCUAGCAGCAAUUCAGAAGAGUUUUGAACUCCACAAUCAGACCGUGAUGAGCGCAAGUGGAAUCUGAGCAGCCUUCAGCAAUGAAGACAGAGAAUCGAACUACACGUUUAUUCGGUGCCCUUGCAUCCAGGGACCAUCCCGGAAAGACGAUGCACUUGUGCCCAGUUGUAAAUCAACCUGCAGCCUCUGCCUCAGCACAAGCUGCCUCCGGCCCCCAGUGAAUGGCUGUUCGGCUUCCCGGUGGACUCACAAACACUUUACUUUAUUGUCGCCAAACAAUUGAUGCUAGAGCGUAGAAUCAUCACAGCGAUAUUUGAUUCUGUGCUUCGCGCUCCCUGGAGUACAAGGUUGUAGCCAUCGAGCUAUGACUUCCAGACCUCUGAUUAAUCUUUGGGUUUCGAUCAUCAGUUAUUGACCCAGGAUUCGCCGAUGAAGGCAGGACCCCUGACACUGGCCCUCAAACUCCAGACACACCGAUGACAGGGCCCCUGACAGUGGGAAACUCCAGUCUCACCAGUUACACACCAGGGGGCUUCACCAGUCUAAAUGCCUCCUGCCCGAAUGGAACUCUGAACCCAGAACUCUCUGGGGUGGGGGGAGAGCUACAGCCCUCAUCCUCACUGGUCUGCUGGGCCAACAUUCAACCAUGAUUGUCUUUCAUCUCCCAUCAUUGGUCUUCAAGUACAGAGCGGAGGGCUAGACUGUGGCCUAAUCCAGGUUAGAACUUCAACAGAUUACUAUCCACUGGAGUCAGAUUGAAGGGAAGCCGUGCAGGUUGUCCUCUGGGUGCAAUGUACUGGAUAAGGGGACAGACUACAAACAAAUUCCAAAUAUCCUGAUGGCUAUUAAAUAAAGUGCUAAUUUCACUCGUGUAUUCAUGGUUCACUUCUCUUUGACUGGAAUUGUUUUACUUUCAGCUUCUAUCAGCAGUAAUGAUCUUCCAGGAGGGGUCCCAGUUGAUGCCAGUGAUUCUCUCCAGACAUUCCCAUGGGAUACUGAGCACAUAUCCCCAUCCAAAUGAAUGUUCGGGGAUGGGAAUACGAUCUUUCUAGAUAAUCAGUGCUGCCUCUGUGUUUAUAAUGAUUCUUGCAGCCAUGUCACAUUGUAAUCUCGCCUAGAUCUGGAGGGCACAUGAUUAAUGUGGGAGGGGGAAGACUUAAAGGGUUCCUGGGGGUCAAGUUGGGUUGGUAUGUGGAACGAGCUCGAGAGGAAGUGGUAGAAGCAGGGGCAUUGAAUGUUUAAAUGAUGGGGUUACGGAUAGUUUAAAAGGGUCAAAGGCAAAUGGGACUAGUUCAGGAAGGCACCUUGGUUAGUAUGAGGGAAUCGGGCUGAAGGGUCAUAUCCCUGCAGUGUUAGUCAGCUCCAACAUUUCCCUCUUUUUUUAUUACAGCUUUGUGGGCCAACCAUUACUCUGAGCUCAGCUCCACCCUUGUCCUGUGUGUCUCUCACCAAGAGGGGAUGAAAGGGAAAAUAUUGUGAGGCUAGAGGGAGGACCCAGGGUGAUGGGAUGUGUAGAUUAGAAGGCCAACCUGACCCCUCAGUGACCUUGCAUUAGAUCUAGAGAGAAAUGGACCACACAGUGAAAAUGGAGGCAAAGAAUAGAAGGGUGAGGGUCUAAAAUAAAGCAGGAGGCUGCAUCUUGGCCCAUCAUUAAAUAAACUAAUGAGAAGGGAAGAAACCAAUAGGUGUAGAACUUGGGAAAUUUCAGAAUCAGCGUAUCACUGCAGUCUGGUGCAUGUCAGAGUAACUGGUCUAUGCUGACCACAAUGUCCUCUCAGUUUCCCGCUAUUGGCCCAUGGUCCUCCCGUCCACGCCCUGUCCAAAUACCUCUUAGAAGUUUCAAGUCUGCCUGCCUUCAGCACUCUGGGGCAGUUCAUGCUUUCUAACGUGGCUAGGUUCUUUUUUCCCUUUCUCGUUACUUUGAAUGUGUGUGUGUGUGUCUGCACCGUGGUGCCAGAGGAACACUGUCUCAUUCAGGGGUAUCCAUGUAUGGUUCGAAUGACAAUUAAACUUCACUUGAUUUGAUUUGAAGUACUCACGGCCCUCUCUAUAAAGAAGUUACCCCUCAGGUCUUUUUUUUAAAUCUCUUCCCUCUUCUGUCUGUGCCCCCAAAUCUGGAGAAAAGACUGUCCACCUUAUCCACCC